rnacentral:tRNA from 1 species
GUCCCUGUAGCUCAGCUGGAUAGAGCAUCUGCCUUCUAAGCAGAGGGCCGCCUGUUCGAAUCAGGCCAGGGACGCCA